CCUUCCACCACUGCUCCACAGCUAGCAUCCAGAAAUGGCCAUAAAAAUAGAUAAAGAUGUGUUGUUUCUGUGCCUGGGGCAAGAGGCAGGGCCAUCUCCAGGGAGCACAUGGCACAGUCUGUCACAUGUUGCUGUCUUCUUGUGCUGUGCUAGCCACGUGUCAGCCUGGUUUCCCCCUGAAUGACAGCAGAAAUCCAGAGGAGCAUUCCACGUGCUGGCAGGGGCUUUCCAGGGCUUUUUGAGUACAGUUUAAGGGCUGCUGCUGACUGUCAGGGAGUCUCUUACUCUCUGAAGAUGCUGCUUGGGAGGUCCAGACUGGAUAUUAGAAAGCAUUUCCUUACUGAAAGGGGGGUCAGAUUCUUCGACUUCUUGACGAGGUGGUUGUUGCCCCAUCUCUAUCAGUGUUUAAGAGGCCUGCUUGCUUGCUGGCCAUCUUACAUAGCAUCCGCCCCUCUCCAUGGCCUAAUCCCUGAGCUGGACCUGGUGCAGAAGCAGAACUGUGAUGAGGAUUGUCUUAAUGGGUGGAGCUGGAGAGCAAACUCUCACAGAAGCAUGGAUAUACACAAAUGUCCUGCUGCUGGAUGUCUACCUUGUAAGUCCCAGAUCCUGAUGCUGUGCUCUUCAGAUCCAGUCCUUUACACUGAACUGGUGAGUAUAUGGAGGUAAGUGGCUUUAUUUAGUAGCAUUUUUAUAUUCUACAUAUCUCUGUUGCUUUUAGCAGUUGUUCUGACCUGGCUAUCAAGAAUAAAGUAAUAAGAAAUUGUGCUCUGGAGUCUGAGUGCCUCCCAUAGGAGUCUCUCUCCUUGAGGGAAAGGAGUAGAUUAAGAGAAAUUAACAUCUUAAUACUUUGCCCUUUGGCCACUGAUAUCUACUGUUACAGCUUUAGGCAAGUUCAGCCUUCUUCACUCAUUCAGUGCAGAGCAGCAGAAGGGAGCAGACAGAUAUAGGUAUUUAUUAAGAAUCAGGCUUCUUGCUUGCAGCUUGUUCCAGCCCCACUUAAAAGAGCACGCAAAUGGGAAUAUUGGGAGUCACUGAACCAAUACUCUGUACUGGCUGUGAUGUACUGUCAGGUGCUAGUAGGAAAUGCUUAAAGAAGGACCAUGUGGAGAGGGCAAAAGCAGACUGAUGUGGCCCCAAGUAAACCUUCCAGGUUUGGGGCAAUAGCCUGUUCCUGAACAAAGGGAUGUGAUUAGACCCAUUGCUGGAAUAGCUACACAGAGGUCUAGUGCCUU